rnacentral:lncRNA from 1 species
CCCUUAAGCAGCGUCUCCAUUCCUGUGAUGAUGUGUUUGGCUCCGUUCCUCACACUCUGAUGGUCAAGUGUUAUAUUGCAUAUGAUGAGAACUUGAGGAAGGAAAAGACAGAAACAAGUGAACUGCAGCUCUGGGGUUGCCUGCUGGCUGUGAUCAGAAGCAAAUGGGUCAUGUGACUUGGGGAAGCAAAGGAAAAGAAGACCUCAUGAGGCCAAGAAUAAUUUGAAGGAAGGUGGCUAUUUACAGAACAAAAUCAGAAAUAAUAGGUCUGCC